rnacentral:rRNA from 1 species
AGUGAACGCUGGCGGUAGGCCUAACACAUGCAAGUCGAACGGCAGCACAGUAAGAGCUUGCUCUUACGGGUGGCGAGUGGCGGACGGGUGAGGAAUACAUCGGAAUCUACUUUUUCGUGGGGGAUAACGUAGGGAAACUUACGCUAAUACCGCAUACGACCUACGGGUGAAAGCAGGGGAUCUUCGGACCUUGCGCGAUUGAAUGAGCCGAUGUCGGAUUAGCUAGUUGGCGGGGUAAAGGCCCACCAAGGCGACGAUCCGUAGCUGGUCUGAGAGGAUGAUCAGCCACACUGGAACUGAGAAACGGUCCAGACUCCUACGGGAGGCAGCAGUGGGGAAUAUUGGACAAUGGGCGCAAGCCUGAACCAGCCAGACCGCGUGGGUGAAGAAGGCCUUCGGGUUGUAAAGCCCUUUUGUUGGGAAAGAAAAGCAGCAGGUUAAUACCCCGCUGUUCUGACGGUACCCAAAGAAUAAGCACCGGCUAACUUCGU